rnacentral:rRNA from 1 species
AUUGAACGCUGGCGGCAGGCCUAACACAUGCAAGUCGAACGGUAACAGGAAACAGCUUGCUGUUUCGCUGACGAGUGGCGGACGGGUGAGUAAUGUCUGGGAAACUGCCUGAUGGAGGGGGAUAACUACUGGAAACGGUAGCUAAUACCUCGUAACGUCGCAAGACCAAAGGGGGGGACCUUCGGGCCGCUUGCCAUCGGAUGUGCCCAGAUGGGAUUAGCUAGUAGGUGGGGUAACGUCUCACCUAGGCGACGAUCCCUAGCUGGUCUGAGGGGAUGACAAGCGACACUGGAACUGAGACACGGUCCAGACUCCUACGGGAGGCAGCAGUGGGGAAUAUUGCACAGUGGGCGGAAGCCUGAUGCAGCCAUGCCGCGUGUAUGAAGAAGGCCUUCGGGUUGUAAAGUACUUUCAGCGGGGAGGAAGGGAGUAAAGUUAAUACCUUUACUCAUUGACGUUACCCGCAGAAGAAGCACCGGCUAACUCCGUG